AGAGGUAUGUGGGUUGUGGAAGAGAAACUCUGAACUGUAGAGAAUCAGAAUGCUCAGUCAUCAAACCCACAAAACUGUAAGAGGAUUCCUUUAGAAUGACAACUCGUCAAAAUAGAAGUUCCUUUCUAGCAGAAAUUUGCUUAUGGGAAAACUGAGGCCCAGAGAAGCAAAGUGUAUUUCCUAGGGUCACACAGCCUAGGUCUCCAGACUGGAUGUCCUUCUUUCUGCAGGUCUGGAUGAGAAACUUGAAGGAGUCAGUCCACAAUAAUUUCUGGAGCAUCUACUUUGUACUACCUGCUGUUCUAGGCACUGUGGUUUCACUGGUAACAAGGACAGAACUACUGUCCCCAAGGAGUUAUGUUCUAAUUGGUGGAUGGGAGGACACAGAUUAGGAACACAGAAACAAAUGAGGUAACUUCUGUCACUGUCACCACCAUGACAACACCCUCUACUGGAAAGGUAUGAGUCAUCCCAGCUGAGGACAUCCUAAACCAGCCAGCCCCCAGCCAACCUAUCCGCUGACCACAGAUGCAUGAGUAAGACAGCUGUACCUAGCCCACAUCAGUAGAACUAGACAACUUGUCUCUAGACAACUAGACAACUAGACUCAAACAGGGUCUUGCUCUGUCUCCCAAGCUGGAGUGUAGCAGCAUGAUCAUGGCUCACUGUGCAGCCUCAACCUCCUGGGCUCAAGUAAUCCUCCUGCCUCAGCCUCCCAAGUAGCUGGGACUAUAGGUUGAGAGGUCAUUCUUACCAAGAGCAGCAAAGACCAACUCAUAGAAUCAGCAAUGAAUCUUCGUGUUUCAGCAGAGGGAAAAUAACCGCCUUUAGCUCACCUCGCAAUUGCUGUACCUUUUCAUGCCAAAAUUUCAUUGAAAGUGUCUGAGUGCACACAAACAGACUGAAGCACCGCCUAUGUGAGGUGCUUAGAGACAGGUUGCCUGAGUUUACACCUCGGCUUUGCCACUUACCAGCAGUGUGACCUUAGGCAAGUGCCUUUUCCUCUCUGAGGAAAUUGUCUCAGGGAUAAAUGAAUGAACCCUUUGGUGAUUGGUUGAACCCACAGUUCAUCUCAGCCUGGCAGUUUGCCAUGAUAAUGUGUCUUCCAAAUGUGCACAGAAAUAAUGUGGAUCCCAGCGCAAGUGAGACCACUGGGCAUUAAUAACCAAUACUUUGAGAAUCGUGUGAUGUUUAAUUUUAAUAUGUGCAUUUGGUCCUUCAUAACUGGCUCCUCUUCAGGGUGUGUACUUCAACUCAGACAAGGUGCACACAGGUCUCUUGAAGAUGCCAUUAUAGAUGUCUGCAAAUAAAUGACUGAAAUGUAAGACUAUCUGGUCUCUCUAAAGUAAAAGGAGGCAGUGCUUGGGG
rnacentral:lncRNA from 1 species